CACUCUCGUUUAGAUUGAAGGAGCUUGCUCCUGAUUGAUAAACAUUUGAGUGAGUGGCGGACGGGUGAGUAACACGUGGGUAACCUGCCCUAAAGUGGGGGAUAACAUUUGGAAACAGAUGCUAAUACCGCAUAAAACCUAACACCGCAUGGUGUAGGGUUGAAAGAUGGUUUCGGCUAUCACUUUAGGAUGGACCCGCGGUGCAUUAGUUAGUUGGUGAGGUAAAGGCUCACCAAGACCGUGAUGCAUAGCCGACCUGAGAGGGUAAUCGGCCACACUGGGACUGAGACACGGCCCAGACUCCUACGGGAGGCAGCAGUAGGGAAUCUUCCACAAUGGACGAAAGUCUGAUGGAGCAACGCCGCGUGAGUGAAGAAGGUUUUCGGAUCGUAAAACUCUGUUGUUGGAGAAGAAUGUAUCUGAUAGUAACUGAUCAGGUAGUGACGGUAUCCAACCAGAAAGCCACGGCUAACUACGUGCCAGCAGCCGCGGUAAUACGUAGGUGGCAAGCGUUGUCCGGAUUUAUUGGGCGUAAAGCGAGCGCAGGCGGUUUCUUAAGUCUGAUGUGAAAGCCUUCGGCUCAACCGAAGAAGUGCAUCGGAAACUGGGAAACUUGAGUGCAGAAGAGGACAGUGGACUCCAUGUGUAGCGGUGAAUGCGUAGAUAUAUGGA
rnacentral:rRNA from 1 species